GGCGAACGGGUGAGUAACACGUGGGCAAUCUGCCCUUCACUCUGGGACAAGCCCUGGAAACGGGGUCUAAUACCGGAUAACACUCUGUCCCGCAUGGGACGGGGUUAAAAGCUCCGGCGGUGAAGGAUGAGCCCGCGGCCUAUCAGCUUGUUGGUGGGGUAAUGGCCUACCAAGGCGACGACGGGUAGCCGGCCUGAGAGGGCGACCGGCCACACUGGGACUGAGACACGGCCCAGACUCCUACGGGAGGCAGCAGUGGGGAAUAUUGCACAAUGGGCGAAAGCCUGAUGCAGCGACGCCGCGUGAGGGAUGACGGCCUUCGGGUUGUAAACCUCUUUCAGCAGGGAAGAAGCGAAAGUGACGGUACCUGCAGAAGAAGCGCCGGCUAACUACGUGCCAGCAGCCGCGGUAAUACGUAGGGCGCAAGCGUUGUCCGGAAUUAUUGGGCGUAAAGAGCUCGUAGGCGGCUUGUCACGUCGGAUGUGAAAGCCCGGGGCUUAACCCCGGGUCUGCAUUCGAUACGGGCUAGCUAGAGUGUGG
rnacentral:rRNA from 1 species